rnacentral:lncRNA from 1 species
AGGGGGAGGGAGGUCCUAUCAACACUCUCCCUCGACCCAACAAACAUCCCCAUCCAGCCUGAAUUGAUCCGCCAACCAACGUGAUGCAACCCUGACGGAGCUUUGCCUCGAGACCCACACUAUCGACCACAGGCGUACAGACACAAUGUUCCACUGUUUCAUAGGAACAUCAAGGUCUAAACGCACCAGCAUACCCAAUUUAUGCUAUUGCUUCCCUUCUGAUUUAAUUCACAUCUCCGUUGUCUUCUUAUUUGUACAGACUGAAAAUGCAAAAAGAUAGUGGUAAACUUGCCCGUCUCAAAUUACUCUGGUGGGAAUAUUGAGAACAAGCACAAAUUGAAACUUCAGGUCUUCCUUAUCUUGUAUCAGGCGACCAAAAGGUGGAGAUGAAAUUGCAGCUAUGAGGUCGACGGGAAGGUAAAAUUAACCAGGAUGGUCCCCCACGGGGUUGCAUCAGAUGCUGGGGGCCACGCGGAGUUUGAAACGCAUCCGAUCAGCGGGAUGGUUUGACUCUCCUUCAAUGCCCAGUUACCGACGGACUCGGGCAAAACAGAUCAAUUACAUGUAUGUGGGCCCAGCAUUCAGAAGUUCUAUAGAUCAAUCCGUAGAGAUGUUUACCUCGACGGAUCCCUGACUUCCCUCCAUAAGCAUGACUGCACCGAAACUUCAUUACUCGGUAAUGACUCCUAGUUAAAAGCUACUACAACCAGUAAUCCGUUUUGUAGUUCAUAGCACUGCAAUAUAUAUUUUUUUGUACCACAAUAUAGAUAAAUAACCUACGCUUUGGAGCACAAUGCUAAGUUGUCUAUUUUUCUUUUGACAUGAUCCAAAAUUGGACCAUCCACUGUAGCGAUCCAUCCAAUCAUGGAUUACAAAGAUUGUCAACAACAAUGGCAAACCUGUUAUACCUCCAUUUCAUAUACCACAACCUAGUUUCAUCUUAUAAAGUGUGAACUAGGUUCUGGAACGGAGCUGCCAUUCUUUUAUACAACAGUAGGGAACAGUGUCAGAUGACAGACCACAGCUGACAUAUUGGAAGGUAACUGGCACCAUGACUGCAGCAUUUAGCGAAAUACAGCAUACAAGGCAUGUCAGGAGAACCACAACGUCAAAUCCUGUAUCAGCGGUGUAAAAGACGAUAUCUGGAGCUUUCACAGAGGGUGGAUUGGCUACAGGUCUAUCAUCCGCCCACGAAGAAUAGCUUCAGCCUUCCUCACCUCCAUCACAGGCCCAAUGAUGAAAACCUAUGUGGAUGGCACCAGUCAGAUGAAUUAUUACCAGGACAAACAUAUAAAAUGAACUAAAAGACUCCAUAAGCUUCAGUCCUCUGAUAAAACUAACAGACUCUUGUCCAUUGCUGCAGUGGUUUCCAUUGGUUGCACAUGAAACCCACAGGCAUGGGAUCAAUGGGAAUAGUUUUCAAGAAAUAAUUAAUGAUUACAUAAAAGCUAUAAUGCAGAAUAUAAAGAAACCGGGCAUAUCUUUUUGUUCCCCAGAUGCAUUGUUCAAUCGAUGUGGUAUGAGAAGACUCUCAUGCCAACAGACUUGAGUACCAAGAGUAAACCUCAAUGUUGUGAAAUCAUAUUGGAUGUUUUUUCAAUAAACAAGAGAACUUGUAGUUAGCCAGCUUUGGACAUAUUUCAUUCUCUUUAUCUAUAUUAUAAAUGCCUAAUAUAAGGACCAAUUACACAUUAAGUUUCAUCAACACAAUUUAAAGAAAUACCAAGAGUACUACAUGCUGUACAAACCCCAUUUCUUCUUUAACUGCAUCAUGCAUGCCCAGUAUGAGACCAAUAAAAAGUGACAUUUACUAAAUGAAUUACUGAUUUUGAUCAAUGAUCAUCAAAAUAAUUAUCCACAACCACAAACACAAGAAACUAGACAUUACAUACCAAAAUUUGCAAGACUCAUACUUGAUAUUGCAUAGCAUGCAUAUUCACAUUUGUCUAGAUCAGAGAACUUUAUCAGAAAGAUUCAAAUAAGACCUUGUACUGCUUCUACUGUACUUGUUAAAGGUAUUUCUUGGGCAUUUGAACAAUGAAAGAAUGGGAUUUCUAUGUGAAUCUGCACAUUCUUAAGGCUGAAAUACUAAUCAUCUGCUCAGCAUUUUUCAUUGUCUAUGACAUAAUUACCGCUUGUACUUAUAAUAACAUGAUUUUUAGAAGAAGCAGCAAGUCACCGACUCUGUAAGGAAAAAGGAGAAAGAUAAAGACUUUACUUGGAUCGUUGGAAAAAUAAAAAAGACCAGAUGACGAACAUUACUGGUCUGGAACUUGAACAUUUUAAUGACAUGACCAUCAUAUGGAAAGUCUGAUAGUUUAUAGUAGAAAACUUUAUCAUCAUUUUGUCGGUCUUCCAGAAAGCAUUGGAGGUUACUAGCCUGGAAUUCAUAUCAUAAAUAAUGGUCAAAAGGUAAACACCCCAGACUACUAUAAGAGAUAUUAAAGGCAACAAACAGUUUAUAUUUAUGAUUUUAGAGACAGUGCAGAGCCAUCACAAAUUCAAAUAACUAAUACAUUUGAGGAUAAAAGUUCAUCAAAAUAGAAAGUUCAAAUCAUAGGCCUAAUGCCAAUAACAUUAGAAAAGGGUUCGGGUUGUAUAUUUCGUGCAAAAGAAUGAUCUUCUUUCGCAAUGUCAACCACUGGAUCGCAUCUCACACAGAUCACAAAGCACUCCAAACUUUUCUUUCAUCCGCCUGCCCAGAUCUUGAAGUGGCCAUUGCGCAAGCCAGCAGUUGAGGUCACAAAAGAAGGUGAAUCAUUCCUUCGCACGAAAGAUACAACCCCAGUGGAUUAGAAAAUGCUCUUUUCUCACAGAUGUUAUGCAGUUUCUGGCACUGGGGACUCAGGGACCAGCUAGCAUUCUUUCUUGCAAGUCAUGAUAUGUUACAAUUAUGCGACCAAGGUGUUGUAUCAUUAAUUUAGGUUAGUGCCUCAUGCAUAGCCAGAACAGCCCCUUCGAGAUACCAACACAACCAAGUUUACCUUGUCAGGAGGACCCUUAGCACCACCAAUGAGAAUCUCUGCACUGCAAUAUACAAAACAGAAUGAAACAUUCAACUCAAGAAGGAUAAAAGAAAAUAAAAAUUAACACUAACCGAAUUGAUAUAAAUAGUUUUGCAAACACAUUACAUGCAUAAUCAGCUUACUUGCAACAUUCUUUUACUGAUCGAAUAGAGGCACCUUUUUUCCCAAUAACUCGUCCCAUUUUCCCUGGAGGAACAUUUAGCACGGAGAGUAUCUCUUCUUCAGGGACAUAACCUUCAGCAGCUAGGAUAUCUGGGUGUAACAUCAAACAAGUCAAAAAAUCGUGCCACUUCAAUAGAAAAGUUCAAACAAUUAUGCCACUUCAAUAUUGCCAAAUUGUCCAGUAAGUUGCAAACCAAAAACUCCAAUAAAAGAGACAUCCUAUACAUAAAAGCAAUACAUUUCCCUGAAGCAAGCAAAAAAUUUUCUUGCUUUGAGCUCUUUCAUGACCCAGCCAGACCUUUGAUUGCAUUCCUUUUUCGAAUCUUGUAAAAAGCCCUUCAAUCUUUGUAUUAACAUCUGACAAUAAAUCUAACUACAGUGCAUUCUCAAAAGUAUAUACUUAAGGUCAUCGGUUUGCAAGUCAAUUCUACACCAAAGAGCAGAGUAGUUAUAUGUUUGCAACUAUUUUGGAUCAAUUUAUCUUAUGUACCCGGUGGCAACAUGGAAUGGAAUUAGUGUUUGCCGAACCAAACCAAACAGAGCGAUUCAGUCCGCACCGGACCCCGACUGAGCAGACAUGAAAUCGGGAUGGCUCUGCGCCAUUCGGAUUGGUUCGGCUUAUAAAACACUGCCCAAUUUUCGCCAAAGGCUUGAUUACUCUCCUUCUCUCUCUCCUCUUAGAUGCUGACUGAUGCCAACCGACUCCUUCACCCUCGAACGAUAUUGAAGAUGAAACCCUUGCUCUCGAUUAAUGCCAAAGAUGAUGCAAUCGCCCACAAUCAACACAAAUUAUGAUGCUAUCGCCCCCAAUCGACACCACUGAAGCCUUUGCCAACAUCUCCAACUCCGAUUGUCAGUUUAGGGUAAGGAUUUGAGGCUUCCAGCUGCCGCUGCUGAUGAGGUAAGCCCCUCUCUCCCCCCUCUCCCUCUCCCUCCAUCCCUCCUUCUCUUCCUCCCUCUCCCCCCUCCAUAAGUGCCCCCCUCCUCUCUCCCCAUCCCCCUCCCUCCCUCCCUCCCUCGCUCGCUCUCUACCUCCCUCUCCCCCUUCCUCUCCUUCCCUCUCUCUUCCUCCCUCUCCUCCCUCUCUCCCCUCUCCCUCUCCCUUCCCUUGGUUCGGUACACCUUAGAUCCGUCUCUCCCUCCUCCUAUCUCUUCCUCUCUCUCCUCCUGCUCUCCCCUCUCCCUCUCCCUUCCCUUGGUUCAGUACAUCUUAGAUCAAUACGUUAUGUAUCGAUACUGUACCGAAUCAGUCACUAACUAGUUCAACCUCCGGUAUCGGUCCAACAAACCUUAAAUAGAGUCACCUCUAUGUUGAGAUUGGCGUCAAGGGCAAUCUGAGGGUCGGAAUCAAAGUUCACCAUCUCAGUACUGGGCCGAUACUAUCCUAUUACAGUAUCCGGAUAUAGUACGAUAUGAGAUGGCAAGGCGUACCGAGUCUCAGUACGAUACGAGACAACAUGCUAGUUCAGUAUCGAUACGGUAUAGUACUGACCGAUACGGUAAAUCUUGGUCAGAAUACACACCUUGGAUGACUACUAAAUUAUACAACAUAGUUAUCAGUGUACCAAAAAGCAUGCUGCACACUUUUCAGUAACCAAAGUAUAUCGGCUUGAAAUGCAUCCUACACUAAAAUUUUUAUUCCAAAUGCCAUCAACAUUCCAAACUUAGAGCAGCCUUGGUAUCGAAGGAUGAAUUAUUUGCAUUAGAUGCACCAUAAAUCCCUCAGACAUGUAUGGAACAACAUGACAUCAACAGAAUGUUCAGCAGCAUAGCCCCAAAAACGAGUCAAAAGGCUAUCUAUUACCUUUCGGCUUGCAUUUGACCAAUCUGACACAAAUCUUCUAGUCAGAUAGUCAAGUUUGAACCAAAUUUCAUUUUUCCUUCUUUGUAGUAUUUUGUAGUUUAGCCAAAUUCUAAAAGCACCAGCAAAUCCUAAAUAGGACCCUAGGUGAUAAAAAUACCUCAUGUACUCCAUUUCUUAUAACGAAUUGAGUGACUUUAGAGCUGUCUUUUGUGUUUUUUCCCUAGGGUGCUUAUGCUCAACUGAUCUGCAGCUUCAGUUCCAUAUGAACUUGAAGGCAGCUUGGAUGUGAUUUCAAUAAAUCAAGGGCAAGCCCUGUACAACACCAUGCCAAUUCUAUACAGCAACCAGGAAUUCCGGUCACAGAGCGAUUUAACAACAGUAAUCCUUUACCUGUUUAUUUUCAUUAAUUUUAAAUUGAUUAUUACUUUCACAUGAACAACCUAAGUUCUAUUUUGCAACAGAGAAGGGUUUGUCGGGUCCCUUGAUGGUUAGAGUUGGGCUUGUCCUUUACUUGCAGGCUUCCUGAACCUACACAAUGCCUACCACUGUUCGGUUCCACCUGUGCUUCUGACCCAUGUCUCCUGUUAAUCCCGAGAUGGUGCCAUAUCAAGUGGACAUUAUAAAACUGCACACUUUACUGUGCUUUAACCAUAAAAGAAUUUUACAAAAAUGUUGGAUUUCUGACAUCAAAAUUAACAAAUCAUUAACUCUAGUUAAUUCAUGCCAUUAUCUUGCAUGGCUGCAUUCUCUAAAUUCAGUCCUUCAAAGGAUACAACACGGUCAUAUUUAAUAGAUGAGCAUCCCUGUUUAUCAUUUAAAUAUAUUGUGUCUCUAACUUCAUGGAAGUGAAAAUUUACAAAAUUAAUGAGUUUUCUAAGAUACUCAUACCAUUAUGUUGGCCUAAAUAAACAUCAGGUUUAUAUUUUUUUAAAUUUUAUUUCCUAUAUCCAUCCAUGUAACUUAAAUGAGUAUCACAGAUUGCAUGCAUCCAAGAUCUGAUAUAAGCAUAUUCCAAUUAAUUACCAAAACUAAAUAUGUUUCGGGUAGCAACUCCCCUGUAAAUGUCAACUAUAGGAAUGUUAAACCAAAAUGAAUGAUAAAACAACACUAAAUUUCCACACUGUAUAAAAAAAAGAAAGAUGUUGUCGUGACAAAAGAAGUCAGAAUUAACAUGAACACAGGACAGUUGAAAUCUAGUAUGAACUAUUUUGCUACUAUGUAGUUUGAGAUAGAUUUUCCUAAUAUAUUAGAUUGACUGAAAUAUUUACAUUUCAUAAAUUCCCUGACCACAUAAUCAAAAGUUCAGACAGUUGUGCAUUUAGGAAUUCACUCACACAAAAACAACUAGAAAUUUAGUGUAAUUCCUAGUGAAAAAGGCUCCUCGAACUUGGGCAGCCAAAAGCAAGGUUUGUUGUGCCCGUGCGUAGCGCAGGGCAUACCUUACCAUGCUGUUACCCAACUGAUACUUGGUAUAAGGAGCAUACCGAGUCCCUAUAUGCCAAACCGACCCCUAUACAGGACCAGUACCAAGAUUGCGAACCUUGGUCAUGAAAAACUUGGUCAAGAGGGUGUUGUUAUUUCUGCAGGCCCUGUGAACAACACCUCAAAGCUAUAGAUAUGAAUGGUGAUUAUUUUUCAAUUAUUGCAUGCACGUAUGGACCUUUAGUAUAAAUUAUCUCAUAGAAAUACAACUAUACAUUUAAUGUACAACACAUGAUAUUAAAUUUGCAUCGCAUUACCAGGUGCAUGGAACAGACAGCUUUAUCACAAAUUAAUUUUACAUGAUAAAACGUAACCAUGAGUCUUUAACAUUUAUUUAUCUAUUUAUGGUUAGCUAUACAGAGUCAUAACUAGCAGUUGCCUGAAUGUUCGAAUUACUACUUAACACGAUCACUAUAUGUGAUAAUUUAAUUCUAAAUUUGAGCAUUCAACAAAUAAACAUUGAAACAUUAGUUGCUUCUGUUGAAAAUAAGUAUAGAAGUAAACUUGGCUGCAGGAGUGGGAAAGCAAAGCCAAAAGUUGAAGGAUGCAGAAUCAUCGAGGCAGGCCUAUUCAUAGGAAUUAUAAAACUUAAAUCUUCUUCUUUUAUUUUUCUUCUCUUAGAAAACACUUAGGUAUGGAAUUUCAUGAUAAAACAACAAUACAUGCAUCUGAGAUUGAACUAUGGCUCAGUUAAAAGAAUAUACCAGCAAUAAAAAAAUUUGAUGCAAUACAAUCUUAACCUUGAUCCCAUUAAGAAUGGAGAUCAGUUUCUGAUUUCCCAGAUAUUUCCCUAUCAAAGGGUCUAUCUACUCACUGAAUUUUAUAUUUCCAGCAAUUAAAUUCAAAGAAUAGUCAUUCAUGCCCCGACCCCUCAAACUGGUUGUUAAAUUAAUAAUGACAAGAAAAUCUCUAUUAUUUUCAUCAAUUUCCCUUCCUUUAGUGUAAAAAUUUAAAAACAAAGACAGUGAAAAAAAAUAAUAAAACAAGCUGGGAGGAGACACACUUGAUGAACCUAAUGUCAAAGUACAUAGAUGUUAAUCACUCAAUAAGAUUCCAAUCUCAAAUUGAAAAGGCAUCACACAACUGAUUGAUUAGAUGCUCUCACCUAUGCCUUCUUCAAGAAUAUAAGGAAAAUGAUUGGAAAAUAUUAAAUAUUUUUCACAUAAUAAAGUUUGUAUGAGAAAAUAGACACUUCUAUAGACAAUCUUAUCCUAACACCAACCUCAAUGCUAGACCUUUCCAUAAUCAAAGAAAACAUAGAACUGGCUUAACUUACAAAAAAUGAACAAGAAAAUCCCAUAUGAAAAAAAUGUCCAACCACUCUUAAUAUAACCUCUGAGGACUAUAAGAUCAAUUCAACAUCUAAAUGAAAUACCAAAGUUCAACAUGAAUCCAAGUCAAAAAUAGGAUUUCAAAAAGAAGAUACACGAGGUUUCAUCCAUUAAAAAGAAUUCUGCCACCACUUAAGCACCGAUACUACUCAUAAUUGCAUCAUCACGUACAUCCUUUUUAUCUGUUCAAUUCAUUUUUCCUGUCCACAAUUUCUAUAAACAGAGGCCUAUUUAUGGUAACUAAACUAUUUUUUUACCAGCUCAAACUACUAACAUCCUCUUUUAACAUUUAAGCUACCUUAGACACUGGACAAGGUUGAGCAUAUAAAGGCAAUCUGAGCCCCUUUACAGCUUUUACAUCAUGAAGCUUUUGCAAUUCAUUCCCAUCAAGUGCUAGUUUCCAUAUCAGGGAAGGCAUUUUGAGAUCCUAUCUGAUCUUGCUUUUUUGCAUGACUUCAGUUUAUACGUGUCAUCCAUCCUGUCCCAAAAGGAAAACUUAACCCAAAAUAAGCAGAGCAGAUCUCCAUCCAUGCACAUUACUAUAAUAAUGUUGGGUAACUACAUGCCACCAAAGUUGCAUUAGCAUGCAGAAAGUGCUGGUCUAGCAGGCAUCACAAUGAUACUCUAGGGAUUUUUUUGUCUCCUUCUAUGGCAUAGUGGUCUAAUUAUAUGGGGAGAACUGAGUAGGCUAAGAAAAUAUGGGAUGGCUAUCUUUUAGCUUGUAAAGCAAUCAUAUAAUCAUGAUGAGAAUUUGAUAUGUGGACAUAGGCAUGCUUGAUAUUUAAUCAGCACUGAAAUAACAUGUUUCUUUCUAGACAUAAAGACCUGGAAGAGUGGGAAGACGAGGCCAAUCAGCAAAGUCAUUAUCAUUGAUGCAGAAACAUCUACAGUACAGUGAGCCACGGACUGCAAGAUGCCAUAGGGAUCUUUUGUUCAACUUCUCCAUCAUUUUGUGAUAGAUGUAGAGGAGAAAGCGGACAUCAUCAGCAGCAGCACGGAUCAUCAUUUCAGACAUUGGUCUGUAUGUCCAAUAUGCAGGGUCCUGAAAAAGAAAGGUUGAAAACAUCAGCUCCAUAUAAGUUAAACUCAAGAUAUUUAAUACAUGUCUAAUGCAAGGCCAAUUUAAUUUAGUAAAUUAAACCAACAGUAAAUUAAAGUGCAAAGGCACUGAUGUAAUUCAACCUGAGCCAUUCAUUCUCACUAGGAAAAAAUAUAAAAAUGAAUACCUAUUUUCCUGUCCCACAACAAAAAUUAAUUGAUGGCUAUUAAACAAGAACAAUUCAGACUUACAGAGAAUUAUUAUCAUUUUAAAAAUUAACUACAUUUUUAGAUGAUGCUAUGUUUGUUAAAACCAUCCAGAAAUAGUUUUAGUUGUUAUGCCAGUUGGUACCAUUAUAAAAACAUAUGUUACCGGGAGAAGAGUGGCACUAUAGGCAUUUGCUCGGUUACCUUUGAUACUGAUAACUAUGCCAAAAGCAAUUUUUAUCACUGCCAUCAGUGCUCAUACAAGCUGCAAUGUCAUUGAUAGCAUUGAUAACUUUCUAAAUGGUAAGGCCAUGAUAGCGAAUUUCUUUUCACACACAUGAAUAAAAGCCAUCAACUAUUCAUGAUUAAUCUGAUAAACAUAUGGUUAAUAUGGUUGCAAUUUUAAUCCAAGCAAAUUAAAAUUUCAAUCUUGCCAGUUGCUCCCAGAAGAUAGUAGCCAAAAUAAACAUCACAGGCGGAGUGCAAUGCUUUUUUAUUUCCCCAAAAGUCACAUCAACACUAAUGAUCCAAUUGAGAGCAAUAUUUGAUGCAAUUUCACAUAAUAAUCAGCAUGUUAGGCUAACCUGCCUUAGAAGAACACGCACUUCUUCCUUUUCCAGGUAUGAUUUUCCUACAUAAAGAAGUCAAAAAUCAUUGCCAUGGGAACAUUGAAAUAAGGACACAAAGAAGAAAAAGAUUUCAUCUCAUCUUCAAAAUCAUUUUUUUAAAAAACUAUAUUGAAGCAAAGUAAUCAACAAAAAGCAUAAAUGACACGCAAUCAUGGAGGAUGGAAGGAACUAGAACAUAAUUAGCAAGACAAACAUUUUACGACAUUUAUUUUUUAAAAAAUAUUCACAUUUUAGACAACUACAAUAUACUACAAUAAUUUAUGAAUCAGUUGUAUGUCAACAAGCCUUAGUCCAUCCAUAUGGGCUUGGCUUUAUUUCAAGGUAUGAUCCCUAAGUAUGACAAAUGUUUUAUAACUGGCCCACUUCCCAACAAAGGCAAUAUUGGACAAGAGAUAAGCGCACGUUAGACCUAGAAGGCUAGGUACGCAGACAAAAAUUUGCCUUGUUAGCUUUUUGGUUUAAGAUGUCCAUAUAUUAUUUCAUAUAAUCUACUAGUCAUAAAUUUAUAACAAAUUAUCAAAUAAACAUAAGAAGAAUCCAUCAUGUUAUCCCGCAGUUUUCCUCAAUGAACAGGAUAAGGGUUAUCUGACAUCCAUGAUAAGCAGUAUAACAUGUGCACUGGAUUUUUUACAUUCACUAUUACGCCUUGUGUGAUAUUUUCAAGUAAAGGUAGCUGCUGCAUUUCCUAAUCACAUUAAUGCAAGCAACUUGUUCACUGACAACAUGCAAAAAUAGUAACAGUAGUUUCAUCAAAAAAAGGCAAGAGAAACAUGAAAAUGAAUCAAUUAUAGACACUUACAAGAAGUUCAUAACUCUGGAUCUUUCCACUAUAUAGUUAAAACAACUCAUACUUUAUUUGAUACCAAAAUUUCAUCAAGGUAAAUGAAAAGCUUAGGUCCAGAAAGUACCACCAUAACGAGGAUCAGCAAGAAGGCCAACAAAAGAUAUAUAGUCAUCAGGUGAUCGCUUCCUUCCUUCUUGCUCCUCGAUCAGAGAAUAGGCAAUCUGCACGAGCAACACCACUGAGAAUGUCAUCUUCUCUAACAGCACUACCAUAUUCUAAAAAUUACGUUCACUUUUUCCUUAGGUAAAUUCAAAAUGCAACUGCUGAAUGCAGUGACAGCCCGUCCUUUUUAGGAAAGAAUCUGUUUGAAAUGGUGUUUGGGUUAAAUUUAAGAAUACAAAUAAAAUAUUUUCUAAGCAUGAAUUUUGAAGCCACAUCAUGUCAAAAUUUGAAAGCAACAGUACAGAAACAAAAUACUAAGUAGUAGUAUCAUGCAAUUACAUGGUAUGAAAAAAACAUGUUCUAUCGAUAAAGACUAAUCCUUUAUAUCAAAAAGAGAAAAAAUUGAAUUGUUGUUUACCUGGGUAUCCACAACAUUGUGCAGUUUGAUGCCAAAUUGAAAAUAUAAAGCCUGCAUGCAGUAAAUGAGAUUUGAAUAUGUUGGUAUAUAUGGAGAACAUCUUUCAAUGAGAAUGGAUAACAGCAAGAGCAACUUAAAGCUGAACAGACCUCACUGUCCCGUUUGCAAUCAUGAAUAACUUUUGUGAUGUAACUAGACUCAAGUGCAGGCUUACAAGCUUGCAUCAGUGCCUUCCCACCCUCAACAGCAUCAACCAAGUAUACGGCAUCUGGGAAAGCAAGCUAAAAUAGAAACAAAGAAAAUGCUUAGAACACGAGGGCAAUCCUCCAAAACCCAUUAUUCUCAUCGUCAUUCUUUCGAGAUGAAGGGCGCCCACCGGACGAUAAAGGAAAACAGCCAGUUCUUCCAGGCGAACUCCAAUAAAAAUAAAGUUUAGUAGAAAAUCCAUCUGAUGCACAAUUCAUAGUGCUACAAGUACAAUAUUGUUUAAAUCAUGAUCAAACAUACUCUAUAAUUCAGGAAGAUCACCUAAACUAUAUUUAACAAAUAGUAGUUCGGUUCGAACCCAUGUGAAUCACAAUUCUGAUCUUUUGAUCCUAUUGAAUCAGACAAUGUAGGGAGGAUGAAUUAAAAUGCAGCUCUAGAGAGUAAUGUAAUCUUCAAAUCCAUUUGGAAACUUGAAUAAAAUUUUGUAAAACAAGACUCAUUAUAUAACUCAGAUUACUUAGCAAUGGAGACCCUUUGAGCACAAGCUGUAACAAAGAUGAGGACCAUGAAGUUUAAGUACAGUAAAAGUAGGAGAGAUGGAGGUAGGAAUGAGUAGGGCCAACAUCAGACAAAAGAAGUAGAAAUGCCAUAGUUUGAACAUGGGCAGAGUAGCUUUAAACAAUGAGAGCAUCUGCAAGAUAGGACAAAUGGAUAUGUGAAGAGACGUGAGUAGAGGAAACUUGGAUCAAAUAAUAAUAAAUAAUUUCAAUACACUAACCUUUUUAUAUGACCUGGCUAUGACAAAUGAAUCAAUAGCAAAAUGAGAUCCAUACGAAGAAUAACCAAAAUUGAUAUAGUAAGAUCUUUCAUCCAUUAUGUUCAUUCAUGAGGUAGCAUAUGCUUUUAGUCUAUUUUAAUCAAGAUGUAUAAGUAGAAUCCAGCCCGAAGAAUCAAAAUAUGCUUCAAACUAAUUUGAAUCAAAAAUAUUUAAGCAAAUAUUGGUCACAAACAAAUAUGUUGAAAAUGUAUGUCAGAAGUUCUCAGUGAGAAAAUACAUUGAACACCAUGGAACAUAAUGCCAAGUGUUUGAUCAUCAUAAGUGCCUAACCAUAACCAUCAAGGCCUUCUCUCAACUAUUGUAGGCCAGCUUUAUGAACCCACAUUUGCCAAGCAUUCCUAUCUGCAUGUGUAUGUGGUUGCCUGUGGCAUGUGCAUUUUUGCAUUUGUGUGUGGCUGCAUGUUUGUGUGCAUUCAUGCACAUGUGGCCCCGUAGAAAUUUAUUUGCCAAUAAUUCCUAUUUGUGUGUGUGCUUAUGUACCUUCACGAUUGUGGCUUUAUAAGUUCUAAUUCACAUAAGUAACUAAACAUAAUAAUGGUGGAAGCUUCAAAUAAGUCACGCAAUCACUGCAUGGAAAAAAGUGUAGGGAAGGGAAUGUAGGAGGUUUAAAGCUAGAGAAAAAUUCUUUCAUUCAACUCUGUAAAAAAGUUUAAUAAUCUAUACUAUAUAUAAAAGUACCAAUAAUUUCUGUCCAGAAGAGAUCAUAAGCUUUGGAUUUUAUUGACUUGAUAUCAACCACCAACAGCUCACCAUCCACACCCUCAAUUCUUUUCCUAGAACUCAACAGUUUUGAUUGAAUGCUACAACAUCUCAACCUUACACAAUACCGGAUAUUCCUUAACAAUUGAUUUGUGAUUUUGAUUUUCCUUGUUGGAUUUGGUUCUCAUAACUUGCCAAAAAAAUUUAUUAUUUAUUCAAUACAUUUUGGUACAUGAAAUAUUUUCUCUCUCUACUUAUUUUAUUGUUGUCUUAAGCUUUUAUUUUUAUAGUGAGAAGCUAUUGCUUUUCACCUUAUCAAGUGUAUCGUUGAUUUGGUUUUGACCUUUGUCCAUUAUUAUAGCUAUGCUUGGUUAGGAAAAAGGGGAGAAAAACUGUAGAGCCAUGUAACUUUAAUCCCUUGUGUAUCAGUUGCUCUUGAAGAAACUUUCUAAUGGAUGAGAGGUACAUUGGCUAGGCUCCUCAGGGUCGUCAAUUUGCAAGCUUCCUAUUAAAAACCUCAUUUCUUCUCUUCAUCUACUGUUUGGUUAUUAACUCCAAUUUGGCAAAAACACCCUCCUGAGUUCAAACUUACUCGCACAAAGAUGGCCAGCUGGCUUCCUGCAUCCAAACUACCCACCAACUCUUACCCAUGGUGUCUAAAGGCUUUUGAGUCAAAAGGGCUUACUCUUAUCAAUUCUGAUGUAUCUACAUGGAAACUGAUACGAAUGCAAUACGUUUUGAGCACGAUAUAGCAUGAGGUGAAGAGUGCUGGAAUGCUAAACUUUUGUCUCAUUUCUUAUUAGAAACAGUUGAGAUUAUUUUAUGAAGACUAUGAGUCUUUUGAAAAAAAUAUACAAAGUUUUUUUAAUCUCUGAACAUAGUAAAGCUAUGUCUCAAACCAGUUUACUAAUAUAGGUUUAAAUUUAUUUUGAUGUAUGUACAAUUAUAACUUUGGGUUUUAACAGUUACUGUUCUGCAUGUGCAUUUGCACAUAAAUGUUUGCUAGUAUUUCUAAGAAGUGGUUACAAAUGCUUACCAAGAAAAAGAAAUACAUAUCCAGUGGCUAAAGUAACACAUUAUCUGAAGCAUGAUUUAAGACUACAACAAUGUAGCUUUUUAUCAUGUCAUAAAUUUUCACUAAAAAUUAAAGAUAAAACUUGACCUUACACUGGAACAUGUUAAGUUUAUAUUGAUAAGUGCUGAACACUAUGCUACUUUGCUGAAUUAAUAUCAUCUUGUGGAAUAGUGGGAUAUGCAUGAAGCAAGGUGAUCGAUUUUUUAGUAGCUGAAUUAGCUAAAUAAACUGAAACUUAAGGUCGUAGCCAUACAUCAAGUAUAAAUAAAUGCAAUUAUGUGCAAAUUGCUUAUUCAAGCAUAUAAGGAUUACACGCCAUUCAUUGUGAGCAAAUAAAAAUUGAAAAAAGAAAAGGUAGGUAACCUGCAUUACACAAAGAGCUCCAUUUCGACAAAGGUCAACACCCUCACAAUCAAAUCCAAUGAUCAGUUGCCUAUCGACUGAGGGAUACAGAAAUUCAGCUGGAAGUUGAGAAGCAUGGGUGACGAUAUGGAUAGGAACUAAUAAGAAUUGGGCAUCAUCAUCUGAAAGGGAGCCACCUGCAUGAUAUAAAGAAAACAGCUGGGCAUUACUGCUACAGUAAGGAAACAUGUACUUAACAGCCACAGCAUAAGUCAACAAAACCAGACAACUAUGACCGGACACAAGAAAUUAAGAAAACACUGAAAUGAAAAUGCACUAAAUAUUAGUAUCUUCAGAAGAAAAUGUACUGCAGAUGAGUCAUAAAUGUUACGUGACUAAAGUGUUAGUCUAGCAUUUCAAUAAUAUGUGAGCCAUAACAUUUCAAUAAUAUGCCAACCAUAAGCUCCAACGGUAUAUAUAGGAUUACUUCAUGCAUCUGAUUUGAGUAAGGAUUGCAGAAAUAACUUCCUUCUAGUAUGUUUAGCAAUCAAUUCAAAAGCUUAAAGGAAAUGGUUAGCAAGAUUAUCACCGAUACAUACUCUCUGGAAGAUUGGAUCUUUAUAUGUAACUAUAAAGACUAGUUCCUGGCCCUGAUAAUCACUUCAGAGUAAUCAAUUCACUAUGACAAUGACAUUGCUCUCUCACUGUGUGUGUGAGAAUAUGGUUAUAUCCAUUUUCACUAUUGAAUUUCACAAAUAGAUGUAACUUAUAAAUGAUUGAAUCCUCUAAUUUCUCUAAACAUAAUUAAACUGCAUCACAUGAACAGUUUUUUAUCCUCGUCUUGCUUAAGGUGAAAAGGAGAGAGAAAUUAAAAGUAUGAUGUCUUGUUUAAGCAACAUAAACAAUAGUUAAGUUAGAUCUUACAGCAAAACCCCCUUAGCAGUACAAACAGGCAUAACAAGCAAAAGAGAAAUGAAAAGACCAUAAAAAAUUGAAAUCCAAGAGGGCAUGGACAUAGGAGAUCUUGAUAAUAUAAAUUUCAUCGUAAGCUUUACGUUCAACCAAAGCAGCAACAAACCUUUUCCUUUAUCUGUAGGUCUCCAUGGUUAGGGCAGAACAUAUGGCGCAAGGUUGUACAUUAUCAAAAAAGAUACCAGCUAAAAAUAAUCAGCGUGGACCAAAAAUAGAAGGAACAAUAGGUAAUUGGAUGUUUUUAACAUGAAAAUAAACCCAAUAUUAUUAUCUUUCAAAAAUGUCAUUUCACUCUUUUUGAUCUAUGAUCAGAUUCUCGUGAAUAAGAUAGUUGAUCUUUUUGAUACAAUAGUACCAAGAUAAAUUACAGUUGAAAAGUAGGGUUUGAGUUCUUUUUGAAUUGUUUCUCAAUUAUUAUUUUUUUUAAAAAAAAAUCUACAAAUAUCCACCUUGUGGCAACUCCAAGAUAGAAACGCAAGCAUGACAGUAUGACCAGUAAUAUGACAUCAAAAUCAUAAGAACUAUCAAAAGAAACCAGAGCAAACAAGCAUCUCAAUAAACAACAAAACAUACAAACACAGAAGAGAUCUAAAACAGAGAAAUAACUCUUUCUAAAUGUGGAUGAGCUUUCUUUGGUCCAAAAAUCCACUGAUGUGACAUACAUUAUGGAAUCUUCGACGUCAACGAAGAAGAAAAACCGAUGCGGCAUUAAAAACAUAUGAAUUACCAGAUGUCCUUAAAAUCAUAAGAAUUACCAAAUUUCCAUGUCAGGGCAUCAACAACAGCCAUAAAACAAAAAUCACAACAAGAACCAAAUGCAAAAGCUUCAUAAAGACAGACGAAUGAUCAAAACCUUCAAACAGUCUCCAAGAAACAGCCAACAAGUCCAAGAAACAAAUGCAAAACCCAAAAUAGGCAAGAACCCACGAAAAAAGGGCAUCGAAACAAAGAAACGAGAAGGCAGCUGAUUGCAGUAACGAUCGCAGCAAAACCCACAUCAAAAGCCAUCACCAAAACCUCCGAUAAACGGCUACAAGGUCCCGGAUUCAAACGUUAACCCCAAGACAAGCGAAAAAGUUUCAGCAAGCAACGAAAUCCGCAAGCGAGAUGCCAUCAGAGAUCGAAAAAGAAUACAUAGAAAAAAGAAAGCAAAUCGCUGCAGGGACGAUCGGAUGGGCGAAUUAGAGGAGAAUCGCGAGCACCUGGAGACGUUAGGAGAGGGACGAGAGUCCGGUUGAGAGGAGGAUCGGAGGCCAUGCGAUCGGAGCUCGAGGAUUACUUGAAUCCUCCCCCGAGGCCGAGGGUUUCUUGAAUUCCAACUCGGGGGAGAACGGGAUCGAUGGAUUGAGACUUCAGAACAUUAGGCCUCGAGGGUAUCCCGAUUCCCGGCUCCCCCUCCACCGAGCAGCUCCGUCGAUUCCAGUACCCACUAAUAAAUUAGGGACCGGAGCAUUAUGGGAACAAUUGAAUUUUUGACACGUUUUGUUUUUGGUCCCCAGCUUUUGCAUCAUAAAUGUACAGGCUAGCGUACAACCGCGCGAGAUGCUAGUUUUUUUUUUUUAAUGAAUUAUAAAAAACGUCAUAAAAUAGAUAAUAAAAAUAGAAUAAAAUAUAAUAAAAUAUAAAAAUAUAAUUAUUUAUGAUAUAAAUUUUGACAUUAAUAUUAUAACAUACUAUCAUUAUGCAAAUUUCUACUGCUGCAACUACUACUAAUAAUAAUAUUNNNNNNNNNNNNNNNNNNNNNNNNNNNNNNNNNNNNNNNNNNNNNNNNNNNNNNNNNNNNNNNNNNNNNNNNNNNNNNNNNNNNNNNNNNNNNNNNNNNNNNNNNNNNNNNNNNNNNNNNNNNNNNNNNNNNNNNNNNNNNNNNNNNNNNNNNNNNNNNNNNNNNNNNNNNNNNNNNNNNNNNNNNNNNNNNNNNNNNNNNNNNNNNNNNNNNNNNNNNNNNNNNNNNNNNNNNNNNNNNNNNNNNNNNNNNNNNNNNNNNNNNNNNNNNNNNNNNNNNNNNNNNNNNNNNNNNNNNNNNNNNNNNNNNNNNNNNNNNNNNNNNNNNNNNNNNNNNNNNNNNNNNNNNAUCAGAUAGAGACAGUAGAUUCGUAUUACAGUUUUGGAAGAGUCUUCAUAAGGCUCUUGGAACUAAAUUGAGCUUUAGCACAGCUUUCCACCCCCAAACUGAUGGACAGUCAGAGAGAACUAUCCAGAUUCUGGAAGACAUGUUGAGAGCCUGUGUCAUGGAUCUAGGAGGAGCGUGGGAUGGCUACUUAUCACUAAUAGAGUUUGCUUACAAUAAUAGCUUUCAAGCAAGUAUUCAAAUGGCCCCUUUUGAGGCAUUGUAUGGCCGGAAAUGUCGAUCUCCUAUUUGUUGGGAUGACGUGGGCGAGAGAAAAUUGUUGGGCCCAGAAAUAGUACAACAGACUGUUGAUAAGGUGCAAGUGAUCAGAGAACGACUCCGUACAGCUCAGAGUCGCCAGAAGAGUUAUGCUGAUAAUAGAAGGAGAGAACUGGAAUUUCAAAUUGGAGAUCAUGUUUUCUUGAGAGUGUCACCUACAAAAGGUGUGAUGAGAUUUGGGGUUCGUGGCAAAAUGAGCCCUAGGUAUGUUGGUCCGUUUGAGAUUUUGGACAAGGUUGGGGAGGUGGCGUAUCGACUGGCUUUACCACCGGCUUUAUCCGGUGUGCACAAUGUUUUUCAUGUGUCAAUGUUGAAGAAAUAUGUUCCAGAUCCGAGUCAUGUGGUAGCAUAUGAGCCAUUACAUCUUCAGGAGGAUCUGACCUAUGAGGAGUUCCCGGUACGAAUUGUGGACAGAAAAGAUCAGGUACUACGACAUCGAACCAUUCCUUUUGUGAAGGUACAAUGGAAUAAUCAUAUGGAGAGGGAGGCUACUUGGGAGCUCGAAGAAGAGAUGAAAGUCAAGUAUCCGCAGCUUUUUGAAACCUCAGGUAUGUCAAUUUCGAGGACGAAAUUUUUUUUUUAGGAGGGGAGAAUGUAGAGACCCACGUUUGAGUUGGGCCGGCCUCUGAGAAGGGCGGCCCAACUCGUGAAAAUGGGGGAGGGAGUCUCCCGAAUCGAAAAGCUCCCUCCCCUAUUUUUCGGAAGCCUUCCCCUCCUCCCGAAUCCACCGGGAAGGAGGAUCUUAGGGCGAUAAAAACCUACCGAAUCAGGAAGAUCUCCUCUCUCUCUUUCCCUAGGGCAUCAACCGAGGGCUUCUACACACAGAAGAAAAAAAAAAAAAGAGAAGGAAGAGAUCGGGUUUCUACCUUGCCGUGGGGAGGAUCGGAGCUUUCGCCAUCGAUCCGGUCGGGAGGACCUUGCCGGAGGCAAGGUGAGCAUCUUCUCCCUCUCCUCCAUCAUCUUUGGCCCUUAUCUCCUUGGGGAAUGAGGCCGGAAAGCUGCCGGGUUGAUGGAGAAGCUGACGCCUUGUUCGGCCUUCUCCUCUCUCGUUCCGGCCGGUCGUCACCGGUCGGGGACACACCGCCGGCACACCGGCCCUGCCACAGGCCGACGACCAGGGGCGUCGCCAGCCGUGGGCCACCGGCGGCCGAACCUCCUUCUCCCCUUUCCGUCGGGAAGAAGGAAGAAGAGAGGAAGAGAAAGGGUCUUUUCCCUCUCUUUCUCUUAUUAUAUAACCCUUUUAUUAUAUUAUCUGUUUAUUGUUGUUGGGUUUCCUUUUACUCUUGGAUCAGGGAGAUCAUGGAUUGUUGAAUAGUCUUGGAAUACUAGAUUUUAGAGGACCCUUUAGAGGAUUAAACAGGGGUCCUGGAUUAUCAUAUAUCUUGAGUAAAUUUUAAUGAUGAUUUGGUUCUGUAGGGGACGAGAGGACGUUGAGCAGGAUUCUGUGCAUUCCGGUUCUUUAUCGCCGUGAGGGCGGGUGAUUGGUUGUCUAAAUUUUCAACAAAGGUAANNNNNNNNNNNNNNNNNNNNNNNNNNNNNNNNNNNNNNNNNNNNNNNNNNNNNNNNNNNNNNNNNNNNNNNNNNNNNNNNNNNNNNNNNNNNNNNNNNNNNNNNNNNNNNNNNNNNNNNNNNNNNNNNNNNNNNNNNNNNNNNNNNNNNNNNNNNNNNNNNNNNNNNNNNNNNNNNNNNNNNNNNNNNNNNNNNNNNNNNNNNNNNNNNNNNNNNNNNNNNNNNNNNNNNNNNNNNNNNNNNNNNNNNNNNNNNNNNNNNNNNNNNNNNNNNNNNNNNNNNNNNNNNNNNNNNNNNNNNNNNNNNNNNNNNNNNNNNNNNNNNNNNNNNNNNNNNNNNNNNNNNNNNNNNNNNNNNNNNNNNNNNNNNNNNNNNNNNNNNNNNNNNNNNNNNNNNNNNNNNNNNNNNNNNNNNNNNNNNNNNNNNNNNNNNNNNNNNNNNNNNNNNNNNNNNNNNNNNNNNNNNNNNNNNNNNNNNNNNNNNNNNNNNNNNNNNNNNNNNNNNNNNNNNNNNNNNNNNNNNNNNNNNNNNNNNNNNNNNNNNNNNNNNNNNNNNNNNNNNNNNNNNNNNNNNNNNNNNNNNNNNNNNNNNNNNNNNNNNNNNNNNNNNNNNNNNNNNNNNNNNNNNNNNNNNNNNUACUAUCGAUUGCCCCAUCACAGGUCGGAAAUGUGAUACUAUCGAUUGCCCCGUCAUGGGCCGGAAACGUGACCGGGAUGUAGCCCAAAGUCGGAAAGAUAAUUGAUCCGGAUCAAGUUAACAUGGAAUGGGAAGAAAAAGCAUUGAAAAUAGUCAUAGUGAUUUAUAAGCUAUAUAUAUACUAUAUCAUUCUUAUGUGGCCAGACUUUCAUUGAUGUUUGAUGUAUAAUUAUGGACUUUUAUUGAUGCUUGAUGUUCAUAAUUAUAUUGAUUAUUUGAGUCUUAUGGAAACUGUUUAUGAUUUUAUGAAAUGUGCAUCGAUUUGUCGUGGUUUUCGAAUUCAUAUUAUUAUUGUGUUGGUAUGGAUGUGUAGGGAUUCUUACUGGGCUGUAAAGCUCACCCCCCUCUUCUUCUUUUUCUUUACCAGAGUUGCAGGAUGCAUAGAUUUGGAUGGGAUAGGCGCAGAGUGCGAGUACCAGAGUUAUUAGUUAGUUAGUUUGUUUAUCCUUCUUUGAUGUCGAUGAACAUUUGAAGAUUUUGUAAUUGAACCAAUUUGUUUAUUUGGACAUGUCGGAUUUGUCUAUUUGAAUUAUUAAAUUAGUUGUGGAUUUAUUAGAAUUUUUGUUAAUCAUAGGCCUUGCAUGAUCUUUAGGGCACUGCUCUAGGGCUCAUGCGGCCGGUCGCGUACCGGACCCGGGUGCUGGGUUCGGGGCGUGACAGAGUGGUAUCAGAGCUUAAGGUUAAGGUAUCCUAG